UGGAAAGCUCUAAUGGAAUCGAGAAUAUCGUCGAGCACUUUUUGGGGAACUCCAUGGUUGAUUAUUUGGAAGAAUCCGAAGGUGGAGGCGGCGUUUCGGAUGUGACCGACGAUGGAGGAGCGGUUAUCGGGGGAGUGGAGGCCGGCCAGGUCGAUCGUGGGAAUGACGACGGGGGUAGAGGAAGAUGGUGAUUUAGAGGUUGGUUUGAGGUCGGAGAGAGUUUCGGGUGGGUGGAUGAAAAUGCGAGGGAUUUGAUUGAUGCCGGCGUCGAGAAGGCCUUUGACGCCGGCUUUGGUUUCGUCAAAUUGCUUCAAUUCUGUGGCUCGAUCGAAAUCAGCGGCCAUUUUGACGAUGUAGA
rnacentral:lncRNA from 1 species